GCGAUGGAGGAUUGAAAGGUUGAGCUCAGACCACAAACACUACUUUCCGUUUACCUCCUGCCCCUGCAACAGUGCCUUCCCCUGAUCUGAGCUAAUCCCACAGGCUAAUCUUGCCAGUAGCUUGAGAGCCACAGGAAUCAUUCUACUCUCCCUCAUUGUGAGGAAUGGUCCCAAUGUUCUAACCCAGCUGCAGUCCCAAGACGGGAUACAUGUGAUAGGACCAUGUGCACCACUACGAUGGUCCUCACCACUAUUGCUGUCAUCCUAUACAGAAAGUUCUCAAACCGAGUCGAACCGCACAAUGUUGAUGAUACCAAUGAGGAGCCCUACAUGAAGAGCAAUGGAGUGGACCCUAAGAAAUAACAACCCUCACAGCAGAUGUAGCUCUAGUCUACAGUCUACAUGACACGAACUGAAGACAGGUCUUCACCUUGAUGGCUACACAUCUGUCUAGUUUGACAGGCAAACAUCCUAUAACCUAAACCCCAAAAUGGAUAUGUUACAGACAACAGCAGCAGCUCCAUCUCAGUCAUCUGGAAUUGAUGCAGCUGACGCCAUUGUCUCUCCAGUCUCUACAGGCCAGGGCAGGCCAGCACAACAAGAAUCUUUUUUUUUAUCACAUCUUCAAUCCCCCAUCUGUCCUGCAGAUCCCUCUAAUGUUAUUUCAGCAGAGGAUUGUCCCAGGAGGCCUCCCUCCUCCUUCUUGAGGCAGGAGAAUUCCAUUUCUGGGAAUGAAACCUCAACCAAUCACAUCUUGGUGGAGCUGAAUCUACAGAACAACAUCUUGGUUUAUUGUGGGUUUCUUGUUUUGUAGAGUUGGAUGUUUUCUUAAGGCUUAAAGUAGGCCAAUAAUCAAUGUAAAACUGUUGGAAUGUGUUCCGUGCCUCAAAACACAGUAGUUUUCUUUGAUUGUCAAAUAGGGCUAUACAGAUUUGUGUCCAUUGAGUAAAUUAUAAUGGCUUUUAAAGAAGAGGCAGAACUUUAAAAUUAUGCACUUUAAAUGGUAGGAUGUUUUUGGUAAUCUUUCACAUUCCUAAAGUGACUUAAAUAUUGUUUUUGACUGAAACAAGGAGCCACGGAUAAGAAAUAUGUUUAAAAUGAAUUGCUUGAACCCAUAAAUAUUUGACCAAAUGUCAGAGAACAUAAAUGUCUUGUCGUGAAGAUGUGUGCGCCAUGGCUACUCAAUCUGAAGAGCAAUGGAGAGAGGCAUCUCUCUCCAUUUUGUACCUCUCUGUCAACCCUCUCCAGUCACAAUGCAUUGCUAUGUGAUGAAAGAAAACCUGAAAGUGAAUCACCUCUUCCCCUACACCUUUAGCAUCCCGUUGGUCCCAUUGAAGGAGCAACGGUCAGAAAGAGGUGUCUGCCUAUGUUCAAAACACAGCUCCAACUUUACUUGACAUUCUUAGAAGCAGCUAGGUGUCACCUUAGUAAACGUCUGCCGUGAGUCAGAGCUUGGUGAUGAUGGUGGUUACUGGAAGGACGGUUUGUUACAGAAUCGACUUUCCUUUGACAUGACAUCUUACAACCUGCUUCUUCUCUCUAAAGCAAACAUUAUGUCUUUUCUUUGCUCUCCCCACCUGAUCAAAUAAAGAGAUUGGGAAAAAUGUA